GAUGAACGCUGGCGGCGUGCCUAAUACAUGCAAGUCGAGCGAACAGAUGAGGAGCUUGCUCCUCUGACGUUAGCGGCGGACGGGUGAGUAACACGUGGAUAACCUACCUAUAAGACUGGGAUAACUUCGGGAAACCGGAGCUAAUACCGGAUAAUAUAUUGAACCGCAUGGUUCAAUAGUGAAAGACGGUUUUGCUGUCACUUAUAGAUGGUUCCGCGCCGCAUUAGCUAGUUGGUAAGGUAACGGCUUACCAAGGCAACGAUGCGUAGCCGACCUGAGAGGGUGAUCGGCCACACGGGAACUGAGACACGGUCCAGACUCCUACGGGAGGCAGCAGUAGGGAAUCUUCCGCAAAGGGCGAAAGCCUGACGGAGCAACGCCGCGUGAGUGAUGAAGGUCUUCGGAUCGUAAAACUCUGUUAUUAGGGAAGAACAAAUGUGUAAGUAACUAUGCACGUCUUGACGGUACCUAAUCAGAAAGCCACGGCUAACUACGUG
rnacentral:rRNA from 1 species